GCCAGGUCACCACAAGGGAAGCCUGCCUCAAGCCUCCAUGGCUUCCCAGCAUCACCAUCAUCAGAGGGGCAUGGCAACGCCCUCAUCAUCUUCUGCGGGGAGCGUCAAAAAGUCGGCAAAAAAGUUCCGCAGGGCUGUUGAUGAGUGAAGAAGUGUGGAACAGGGGCCCAGCACCUGAUCAAGAGUAUCCAUUUUUUUUACCGGCCAUUACCUUGGCACCAGUCAUGUCAUCAUCAUCGAAGAGCGGCUUUGCAGUAUGGCUCGGGCCACUACUGCAACGAAAUCAUGUGGAGCAGAGCCGAUAAAGAUCUUGUAAAUGAGUUGUUGUAUUGUACAGCGCAGAUGGUAGCCUCGUGUAGCUGCUGCAUUAAAGCCAUCGUCCCAUUACAGCUUUA
rnacentral:lncRNA from 1 species